UGAGGAAUAUUGGUCAAUGGGCGUAAGCCUGAACCAGCCAAGUCGCGUGAGGGAUGAAGGUUCUAUGGAUCGUAAACCUCUUUUAUAAGGGAAUAAAGUGCGGGACGUGUCCCGUUUUGUAUGUACCUUAUGAAUAAGGAUCGGCUAACUCCGUGCCAGCAGCCGCGGUAAUACGGAGGAUCCGAGCGUUAUCCGGAUUUAUUGGGUUUAAAGGGUGCGUAGGCGGCCUUUUAAGUCAGCGGUGAAAGUCUGUGGCUCAACCAUAGAAUUGCCGUUGAAACUGGGGGGCUUGAGUAUGUUUGAGGCAGGCGGAAUGCGUGGUGUAGCGGUGAAAUGCUUAGAUAUCACGAAGAACUCCGAUUGCGAAGGCAGCUUGCUGGACUGUAACUGACGCUGAUGCUCGAAAGUGUGGGUAUCAAACAGGAUUAGAUACCCUGGUAGUCCACACAGUAAACGAUGAAUACUCGCUGUUUGCGAUAUACAGUAAGCGGCCAAGCGAAAGCGUUAAGUAUUCCACCUGGGGAGUACGCCGGCAACGGUGAAACUCAAAGGAAUUGACGGGGGCCCGCACAAGCGGAGGAACAUGUGGUUUAAUUCGAUGAUACGCGAGGAACCUUACCCGGGCUUGAAUUGCAACUGAAUGAUGUGGAGACAUGUCAGCCGCAAGGCAGUUGUGAAGGUGCUGCAUGGUUGUCGUCAGCUCGUGCCGUGAGGUGUCGGCUUAAGUGCCAUAACGAGCGCAACCCUUAUCGAUAGUUACCAUCAGGUUAUGCUGGGGACUCUGUCGAGACUGCCGUCGUAAGAUGUGAGGAAGGUGGGGAUGACGUCAAAUCAGCACGGCCCUUACGUCCGGGGCUACACACGUGUUACAAUGGGGGGUACAGAAGGCAGCUACACGGCGACGUGAUGCUAAUCCCUAAAGCCUCUCUCAGUUCGGAUUGGAGUCUGCAACCCGACUCCAUGAAGCUGGAUUCGCUAGUAAUCGCGCAUCAGCCACGGCGCGGUGAAUACGUUCCC
rnacentral:rRNA from 1 species